AUGUUGCAAACGCCCGACGGGUAGCGCUAUCGUACCUAUAAUGUUUGAUUAUCACUCGUAAAAGUUUAUCGAAUUUCUUGAUGUUCAUUCUUAAAAUAUUUUUAAAACCGAUUAUUAUUUAGUGUAACUGUUGUCCGUAUCAUUAACAAUAUCAAAAUGAUUUUGUUCUUUUUUUAAAUGCACAUAUGUAAAAUUCGUAAGUUAUUACGGUAUAACUGUAGAAGUACGCGUGGCCAAUACGAGUUGCUUAUGUAAUGCUCGUCAUUCGCGUGACCUGAAUCAUUCACAAUGGAAAUGUUCGAUGUUGGAUAUUGAAAUGUACAUGAUAACGAAGGUUAUGAUAAAUGUACAUUGAAAAAUUGUUGAAUUAUGUAAAAUUGACUUAGAAAGUAAGUUUGAUUUCCUAAACUAUUCGAGUUUAAAAGGAAGAUGGCUGCCAUCUCACCGUAUGUUAAAACAUUCUUAUUGAAUAUUCAUUAUAAUUCAUUUGUAAAAACAGUGUUAAAUUUAGAUAAUCGUUUAAAAUAUAUAAUCUUAAAAUAUAUAAUGCCGGUUUUUAACCAUGAUACGAUGAAAUUAUUUCUUACUAUUGAUUAUUAAUGUCGUAUUGACAAGUUUACGGAAUAAUAGAACAAAAUCAGGAAAUAGUGGGCAUUAUAUAGGAUAAACCACCUAACAUGUUUUAUUUCAAGCAACUUUGUUCAUAUGUCAAAGGAUGAAGCAAAGAGAUCAUCUCUGCGAACACUGUUCCUGGCAGAUAUUAGUUAACAUCAUCGACACAAAGAAUUUAAAGUACAAGGUGUCCCAGAAAUAUACGAAUUAAAUAAGGGUACUUACUGAGGUCAUUUUAAGAUACCUUAACCUUAGCAAAAAUUUUCUUCAUGUGUUUUUUUCACCACCAGUGAUCGGUAAGUACAGUCUACAAAUUUUGUCGCGAUAGCGACCUUUAUAACAAGGAAAAUGUGUCUUCGAAUGGCCUUAGGGAUUACCUAUUUCAUUUGAUUCAAAUAUUUUUGGGACACCUUGUAUACUAUAAUCAUUGUUUAUGAGAAAAUGAAUUAUACAUUCAUUAGCAUGCAUAGCUAGUUCAUGUUGACAAUAUUGUCUUGCAUUUGAUAGGAAGCAUAUUAUAAAAUAUGACCCGACCAAAUUGAUAUAGACAAGAUUAGACCAAUUAAAGUUACCUUUAGAAUUCAAUUUUUGAAAUUAUGCAUAUUACUGUAAGAUGUUCAUAAAAAUAUAGUGUUUCUAAAGGUAGGUUUUUAGCAUGUGUAAAAUAGAAAACAAUACGUACAGCAUAAUUCAAUCCAUCUAGAUUGGCAUCACCAUUUUUCAACCAAUCUACAAAUUCCAUAGCGUUAUCUGUAGGAUCACCUUCUCCAUAUGUGGCUAAACAGAACACUGCCAAACUAUUUGGUAUUGAUUUUAGAUUUAUCAACUCCUCCUGUUAUAAAAAAUUAUAAUUAUUGUAAACUAUAAUAUUUAUACACCAAUAAAUCAUAACACUGGAAUAUUGUUCCUUUUACUCAUUUACACAUUCAAUAAAACUAAUAGGGGAUUAUUUAUAGAUCUUGACGAGCUGAACAGAAAACUAAACUAUGGUAGAAGUUAUGACUCCAUGGAAGAAUAAAUAGAAAAUACAUUUUGUGUUUUUACCAUAUCACAUUCCUCGGGAUCAGCUACCAUGCCUUUCAUCUUAUAACGGAUACCCUCUUUCGCCAACCGACCCGCGAAUUCUUCAGCAGUACCAGUCUGGCUGCCAUAGAAUACCACAAGACUUCUGCCAGAAGUCUUCAACUUUUUAAUGAACGAAUUUUCUGACGGCGUUACCGUGGGAUAUAGCGUUGGCCUUUAAAAGAAACAAUUCUCAAUUAACUAAACAUUAGUACCAACCAUUUUUCUGACGUAGAUAUUUAGUCAUAAAGGAUUAAAUUGAGGCAUAUGGUAAACAUAAUCAUAGAAAUUAGUUACUGAAGGGAAUCUAAUGUUAACAACAUUUAUUAAUAUUAAUGGGAAAGGCUUUCCUAAAAUACUAAUUGCGAAAGUUCAGCCUACUUUUUAGGAGGGCGACAUCUUAAACUAUACAUGACGUUUAUCAGUGUUUCUAUACCGGUUCUAAUAGAUCCUGAAGUGUUUUCCAGAUCACGUUAUCUGUAGCACAUUGUGUACUUAUAUAGGUUUCUAGACAUUAUGCAAUUCAAUUAAUCUGUGCACAAAUAAAUGUAAGGAAGUUUAAUGUCCGAUGUAUAUCCUGAAAACGUUUAAUAGAUUUACUGUUAUUUAAAAAUGUUAAUAAAGGCGAUCCACGAAAUUGAAGUUAGCAACAUCCAAAAGUUUGAAACAAACAGGACCACAAGUUUAGAAUUUUUAGAACAUGUAAACCACUUUCAAAUGGUACAGUAUGUUUUUUAGGGUUUUAUAGAGAUAUGUGUAUUCUUAUGACAUGCAGAACUUACUGAAUGGAGUAGGACUUUGCUGAGGCAGCAUAAUCUUCCUGCUUGUUCCUGCGCAUCAGCCACCAUACUGCAGCCAGUAGGAGUGCACUUAAAAGUACAAUAUCAGGGAUACUAAAGAGAGGUUCAUCGAUAAAUUCAGUCUCGCCUUCGUUCUCCAACACUGGAGAACCUGCCAUUCUUAUAGCUUUAGGUUGAGAUGCACUGGCAGUCUGUAACAAAUACAACAGGAGAGUUUGAGGACAUCAUUCAAAGAACGGGCGAUAAGCUGAGGACUUGAAGAAAACAGUAGAAGCGGGAGCGAAGCAGCAAUGUGGCAAAGGAUGAAAAUAGCAAGUAAACGAGGUGACUAGAAGGACGAAUAACAACAGAAUCAAGUGGUUCGGAGAACGAGUGGCAAGAUGCAAAGUAGCAAGAAAAAUUGGAAAUUUAGUGUGGAUAUUUGCCUACAAAAUGUAAAUAAGAAUGGUCGCGUAUGGUUGUUUGACCUUCAUAAGGUCGCAUCAAUGUAGCGAGCAGAAGCAGCAAUGUAGAAUGGUUAAUGUACGGCAAAGCGUAAGUGAAUCGAGCGUGAUGUUAUUGUAACUAUAUCGUGUUGGGAGCGUGUACAUCAUUUAAAUAGAAAAAUUACUGCCACGAGGAUUCAAUUGUUGCAUAAUCCGGUGCUAGUAAAUCGUGAUGUAAUGUGGAACUACGUAGUCGAUUGAUAUUCUAGCGUAGAAAAAUAGCGUGCUACUAAAACAAUGCUAUUAAAUCAUGCGCCGUUUGCAACAAUGUUUGUAGCUCCGAAUCGGUUUUCGUCGAGCAAACCCCAACGCUCAUAGUUUAUUUAGAUGAGAAUUAAUUAAAAAUAAUAUCAACUAUAAGUACUAGACUGCGGAAUUUAUGCUAAAAUUGACUAUAGGUGAAAUGGCAAAAACUGAAGACACUAGUUUUACUUUACACUUUUAUUUAACUUACGUCUCUUGUAAUUGAUUAAGAGAAAAUUUUGAUUUUGCAUGAAGAUCUGCAGUCUCGUAAAUACAGUGCGUAUGUUAAGGUUUCAAUAUUUUGAUAAUUUGACCCUUUGCAGAUAAAUUGCACUAUAAUUAACAAUUGCACAUUAAAUAAGAAAUUUCUUAAGAAUGUUUACGCGAACUGUUUUCCGUCGUAUCGGGAGUUCCACGCAUGUGUUGGGUUAUACGAGGUAGGAACACCGAAAUCACUGCGAUAACGAGCAAUUUUGGCACUGUUUGAAUGAGUCAUCGAAUGCAGUCAUUGAACUUUUAUCAGAUCCACGCGCCAAACGUGAUAUCAAUUGAACGGAUAAUAUAACUACAUAUAUUUGUCGGCGAGAUACACCGAAAAAAGAUGUUUGACACUAAUUUUGUAUGUUCGACUUCAUAAAGAUUCGUGAAAAUUUAAAUGAAAAACACCAACGACCAAUUAUUCAAAUAAUUUCGAACAGAAUGACGUAGUAAGACAAUUCACUUCGGUACUUGGCCAUAUUUCGAAAUUUGAUUACAGCAAAACUAGAUGAUUCAGAGCUGAACAACAUUUUGCAACAUAUUCGACUAUGACUCAACUUUGUGCAGUAAUUUCUGUUGCUUGCUAUAUUUCAUAGUAUCUAUUCUACGUAGAGUUGAUUAAUGCAGAAGUUCUCGUUGAAUUGUCAAACAGAAUGUGCGAUCGUAAUUUUUUCAAUGAACAAAUUUGUCGAAGUCUAUUUUAAUUUUGUCAACUAUUAGGUUUUGGAACUUGUACCGAUUUAUGUUGAGUUUGUUGUUAGCAACGUCACAUCUUCUCGAGAAAUAUGACGGAAAAUGUGUGCAAACAAAAUGAUUGAUAAAUAAGUGUUUCGAUAGAUUCUGACGUCAUUAUGAUUUUUUAAAGAUUGUCUUCUUCAGGCUAAUUAUCAAUUCGAUCUUAAUUUCUGAUUAUGCACAUCGGAAGCUGAUGAAAUAAUUUGCGAUUAGAGUCAUAGAGAACCGACUAAAUAUUAUGCAAACAUAUUCUCAUGAUAGUAAUACGGAUAUCGGUAGGCUAAUAUGUUCUCAAACAUGUUACACACGUCAAAUGAAUAUGCAUAACUAGGUAAAAGUAUGAAAUCAUCAUCGUUCAUAUCUGUUGUAAAAACUACUAACGCCAUACUAAGAUUAAACUUUCACAUACGUAUUUCGUGUCUGCUUACAUCGAACAUUGUCAUUCGGCGAGCCCAAUAGAUUACCAUAUCGAGUUAAUCAUUGCGCAAUUUGUAAUUUAAAUUACGAAUGUUCACGUGAACUUGCGGUUCAAUUAAUUAACUAAACCGACUCCAUUUGUUAAGUAUCGUAAGAUUUUCGCGAUAUCUGUGUUACUGAAUUCUUUUCGACAUUUACAGUUAAUUUGUCGGUACGGGACAAGGUUUCUCUCAAACUGCUGUCAUUCCUACGGUGGUCGACAAUUUCAAAAAAUCUUAUGCUACACUUUCGAUAAUGCAUUUCUGAUGCUAAAUUAGAACUAGCAUUUUUUAUGUCAGAUGUUUCACUUUUUGUAACAAUGGCGAGUUGGUGUUUAUGGUAAAUUCUGACGAGGUUUUGUAAAAGCACAUUUUGUAAAAUUUUUAUUUAAAAAAAAGAAAUAGGAUAGGAAGGCGUGAGUCAGAUUUAUACGCUCCGUAAAAAUUAGAAUUUUUAGUUCUAUAGAUCUCGAAACAGUUUUUCUUUGUAAAAAGAGAAUGAUAAAAUAAUUUCGAAAAUCUGUCAAACUCGAUGAAAAUUAUGUCAGAAAAUAAUCCAGAGUACUUUCAUCUAAGCGUAAUAAAGUAUUUGUAUCUCUCUUCGUUCUCUCUUCGUUUCGGAAACAUUCGGAUCGUAAUAAUUCUGAAAAAAAGAAAAAAAGCGGAAUCUGUCUGCCGCACAAAGUCAGAAUUGAAUGUAUAAUCGAUGAAACAUUCUUUCGUAUGAAUAAUAUGCAUUAAUGUCGCAAUUAUAUUGAAACGACUUUUGGACACGUGCACGUCGAAUCCUUUUUGUUCCUUAAAAUCAACGUUACCAUUUAAAAAAAAAGGCCAAUUAAUUCUGCGAGGCGCCAUUUCGUACAGAAUUUCCAAAGCAAACAGAAGAAAUUUCAUUUUAUUUACGAAGGAUUAUUCGAGAACGAUUCAAGGUGUUAUACUUAGAACUCUGGCGUUCGAACUAAAAAUAAUUCGAAGCGUUAUCAGUCUUAAAAAGUAGAACACUCUUGCAGGUGCAUAUCGAAACCGUUUCUAACAUUGGUAUUGUAAUACCAAAUUUCACGUAUAGCAACUUAGCUUCAGAACUAUCUAUGCAUUUAUUAAUCUAUUAACGUGUCCUUAAUAAUUUUAUUAUUUCAAUAAUAAUUCAAAUAUACACAGUAUGAAAACAAAAUGGCCACUCGUGAACACUCGAAGUAUUAACGUGAAUGUUUUAAAAUUGUCAACAAAUCUGAGAUCACUCUACAAUUGUACUUAUCGGUAUUAUUUUCUGGAGAAAAUUGCUGACAAAGAACAAUUUAUUUUAGAAUGAACAUUAUUUAUGAUAAAAAUGGAAUUUGCUAUGAAAAUUAUUCUACAGAAAAUAAUACCAAUGAAUACAAUUGUAGAAUUAUUUCAAUGCAAUUUUAGAACCAUUCCAGUACAAUUUUAGUUCAACUGUGGAACAUUUAUUUUGACCGGUCAACAGAAAUUUAAUUUAGAACAAUUCCAACUGUGUACACAUGUUAAUUCUAAAUAAUUCAUGUUCCAAAAUAAAUUGCAGCGUGCCAGCGA